GCCUAUUUUAAUUUAAAGCUGUCUUGUGGUUUCUCUGAAUUUUGCUGAGGCUGUCUGGUUGAGAUAUGGCUGAUAUGAAUGUGUUAUAUGUACACAUGAUAUUACUUUUAUAGCAUAUAGAGACAGAUGAGGCCACAGGAAAGAGUUUCAUUAGGUCAUUAUAGAGGUCUGAUCUAAAUCAAAUCAGGCCUGAAAUAGAUGUAGUUUCCAGGGAGAUUGUAGUCAAGACAAACCUGAUGUUUGAAAGCAUUGAUUAGCAAUGUUGUGUUCAUGGCAUUACCGCAGAAGGCUACAAAUGCUAAUGCCAAAAAGAUUUAAAAUUAGCAUGGAUUGAACAAAGACUAUCUGCGAGUGAUUUUAAAUAAGUAAUGCUCAGCAGAGUUAGUCAGUGAUUAGGAGAUGUCGCCAUUCAAAGAAAUGUCUAGACUAAAGUUUGUUGGUUUGCUUUAUUGUGGAGAUCUCCCAUGCUUGUUUUCUCUUUUUUCAGCUGCCUAUCCAAAUCAACACGCCACGCUGGAGCGUUAUGACAUAAUCGAACCACACCUGCUCAUUGGAGGACAGCAGAGACCGGUUAGUCUCAUAAAGUCAAUGGGUCAUCCUGGAUCACUGAAGGUGCUGAUUGAAGUGGAUGGAGAGCAACUGCUACUUGCUUUGCAGAAAAAUGAGUGGACGCAUGAACCAGACGAAUCAAAAGAUGGAUUUUGGGAGUUGAAAUGGAGCCAUUUGCAUUGUUCUGUAUAAUGAGUCAGCAGUGUAAUAGAGAGAAAUAUUAGCUCUUUUCAGAGCCUGCUGAUCUGCUCAUGUUUGGUGUGAGUGAAGGGAUCCAGAAAAAACACUGGCCAUAAAUAACUCUUAUUGCACAUGAAAUUGGAUUUUGCAUUAGUUUAAUAAAAAAAAGUAUCUUCAUGACUUAUGUUAAGCAGUGUUUGAUCUUCUACAUGACCGAAGUAUACUGCCGUUCCUCAUCUAAUGACGAAAAGGGAGUUGCAGCAAAAGGCAAGACUUUCAGUGGACAGUGACUUAAAUCUCAAUCUCUUCCUCACACUAAUUUAUCAUGCGUUAUUUUAGUAUCUUUGAUAUACUUUCAUAGGUUUUGUUAAAGGGGUCAUCGGAUGCCCAUUUUCCACAAGUUGAUAUGAUUCUUUAGGGUCUUAAUGAAAAGUCUAUAACAUAUUUUGGUUAAAAUUUCUCAAUGUUAGUGUAAAACAACACACUUUUUGCCCUUUCAAAAACAGCUCUGUUCACAGCGACCCGUUUUAGUGCAUGUUUCUUAAAAUGCUAAGGAGCUCUGCUCACUAUGUGUGUGUGUGUAUAUACAAUUAAUUGUUUUACUUUUUACUCUUUGGUGGAAAUAGGCUCCCAUCACGCCAAGGUAAAAAUAAAAUAAAAUAAAAAGUAAUGCACUUUAUUUAUUUAUUUUAUAACUUUUUUGAAAAAUCAUGAGGGGAAAUGAAUAACUUGGUGUUGAAUUAUUGCUUUUUAAAUUUUUAGCAAAAACUUGUCAGCACUUUGACAAAUUGCUUUUGUUCCUCUUUUUAAGUUGCUCUGGCUAAAAGUGUUUGCUAAAUUCAUGAAUGUAAAUGUCUGCAUAAAUGUUUCAUGUUCCGUCUGUCACACUAAACACAUUUUCUUCUAAAUCUGUCUGCUUUUAUUCGCUUGUGUCUUAUGUGGAGAUGUUUGAGUGUGAGUGUGUGUGUGUUGUCGUUUUCCUCACUCGCUUGUCUCACAUCCUGUCUUCCCUCUGACACGCAGCCUGACCUCAGACGGAGCAUCCUGCCGCUCAGCAGAGUCUCUUGACCUUUGACCUCGGCGCAGCGGCCGGUCGGUCUGACGACCUGUGCUGAAUAAGUGUUUGAAAGAGAUGGUCUGUUUUGGCCGGUCUGGAGGGGUUGCAGAUUAACAAAAAACACCAAGCAAACAAAACCUCUUGCUUCCGCC
rnacentral:lncRNA from 1 species